CGGGUGAGUAACGCGUGGAUAACCUGCCGUAUACUGGGGGAUAACACUUAGAAAUAGGUGCUAAUACCGCAUAAGCGCACAGUCUCGCAUGAGACGGUGUGAAAAACUCCGGUGGUAUACGAUGGAUCCGCGUCUGAUUAGCUUGUUGGCGGGGUAACAGCCCACCAAGGCGACGAUCAGUAGCCAGCCUGAGAGGGUGAACGGCCACAUUGGGACUGAGACACGGCCCAAACUCCUACGGGAGGCAGCAG
rnacentral:rRNA from 1 species